rnacentral:rRNA from 1 species
UAGCGAAAUUCCUUGUCGGGUAAGUUCCGACCUGCACGAAUGGCGUAACGACUUCCCCACUGUCUCGACCAGGAGCUCGGCGAAAUUGCAGUACGAGUAAAGAUGCUCGUUAAGCGCAGAAGGACGAAAAGACCCCGGGACCUUUACUAUACCUUGGUAUUGGCAUUCGGUGUGGAUUGUGUAGCAUAGGCGGGAGGCCGAGAGGCGCGGUCGCCAGAUCGCGUGGAGCCGCAAGGUGAAAUACCGCUCUGUUCGCAUUGGAUGUCUAACCUCGAACGGUCAUCCUGUUCAGGGACAGUGCCUGGCGGGUAGUUUAACUGGGGCGGUUGCCUCCCAAAGAGUAACGGAGGCGCCCAAAGGUCCGCUCAGCCCGGUUGGCAAUCGGGUGGCGAGUGCAAGUGCACAAGCGGGCUUGACUGCGAGGACGACGGUCCGAGCAGGGACGAAAGUCGGGACUAGUGAUCCGGUGCCGGUGUACGGACGCGGCAUCGCUCAACGGAUAAAAGGUACCCCGGGGAUAACAGGCUGAUCAUUCCCAAGAGUCCAUAUCGACGGGAUGGUUUGGCACCUCGAUGUCGGCUCGUCGCAUCCUGGGGCUGGAGCAGGUCCCAAGGGUUCGGCUGUUCGCCGAUUAAAGCGGCACGCGAGCUGGGUUCAGAACGUCGUGAGACAGUUUGGUCUCUAUCCUCUGCGCUCGUUGGAAUGCUGAGGAGGCCUGCCCAUAGUACGAGAGGACCUGGGUGGACGAACCUCUGGUAUGCCGGUUGUCACGCCAGUGGCACGGCCGGUUGGCUACGUUCGGGAGGGAUAACCGCUGAAAGCAUCUAAGCGGGAAGCCUGCUCCAAGAUAAGCAUUCCGUGCAGCCUCGAGCUGCUGUAGUCCCCAUGCAGAACACGUGGUCGAUAGGCCGGACGUGGAAGCCCCGCGAGGGGUGGAGCCGACCGGUACUAACGGACGAAAGGCAACACAAC